rnacentral:rRNA from 1 species
ACGCUAGCUACAGGCUUAACACAUGCAAGUCGAGGGGCAGCAUCAUCAAAGCUUGCUUUGAUGGAUGGCGACCGGCGCACGGGUGAGUAACACGUAUCCAACCUGCCGACAACACUGGGAUAGCCUUUCGAAAGAAAGAUUAAUACCGGAUGGCAUAGUUUUCCCGCAUGGGAUAAUUAUUAAAGAAUUUCGGUUGUCGAUGGGGAUGCGUUCCAUUAGGCAGUUGGCGGGGUAACGGCCCACCAAACCAACGAUGGAUAGGGGUUCUGAGAGGAAGGUCCCCCACAUUGGAACUGAGACACGGUCCAAACUCCUACGGGAGGCAGCAGUGAGGAAUAUUGGUCAAUGGACGAGAGUCUGAACCAGCCAAGUAGCGUGAAGGAUGACUGCCCUAUGGGUUGUAAACUUCUUUUAUACGGGAAUAAAGUGAGCCACGUGUGGCUUUUUGUAUGUACCGUAUGAAUAAGGAUCGGCUAACUCCGUGCCAGCAGCCGCGGUAAUACGGAGGAUCCGAGCGUUAUCCAGAUUUAUUGGGUUUAAAGGGAGCGUAGGCGGGUUGUUAAGUCAGUUGUGAAAGUUUGCGGCUCAACCGUAAAAUUGCAGUUGAUACUGGCGACCUUGAGUGCAACAGAGGUAGGCGGAAUUCGUGGUGUAGCGGUGAAAUGCUUAGAUAUCACGAAGAACUCCGAUUGCGAAGGCAGCUUACUGGAUUGUAACUGACGCUGAUGCUCGAAAGUGUGGGUAUCAAACAGGAUUAGAUACCCUGGUAGUCCACACAGUAAACGAUGAAUACUCGCUGUUGGCGAUAUACGGUCAGCGGCCAAGCGAAAGCAUUAAGUAUUCCACCUGGGGAGUACGCCGGCAACGGUGAAACUCAAAGGAAUUGACGGGGGCCCGCACAAGCGGAGGAACAUGUGGUUUAAUUCGAUGAUACGCGAGGAACCUUACCCGGGCUUAAAUUGCAGAUGAAUUACGGUGAAAGCCGUAAGCCGCAAGGCAUCUGUGAAGGUGCUGCAUGGUUGUCGUCAGCUCGUGCCGUGAGGUGUCGGCUUAAGUGCCAUAACGAGCGCAACCCUUGUUGUCAGUUACUAACAGGUUCCGCUGAGGACUCUGACAAGACUGCCAUCGUAAGAUGUGAGGAAGGUGGGGAUGACGUCAAAUCAGCACGGCCCUUACGUCCGGGGCUACACACGUGUUACAAUGGGGGGUACAGAGGGCCGCUACCACGCGAGUGGAUGCCAAUCCCCAAAACCUCUCUCAGUUCGGACUGGAGUCUGCAACCCGACUCCACGAAGCUGGAUUCGCUAGUAAUCGCGCAUCAGCCACGGCGCGGUGAAUACGUUCCCGGGCCUUGUACACACCGCCCGUCAAGCCAUGGGAGCCGGGGGUACCUGAAGUGCGUAACCGCGAGGAGCGCCCUAGGGUAAAACUGGUGACUGGGGC